rnacentral:lncRNA from 1 species
UCUUCUUUCCUUCUUCUUCAUCUUACCGAAUCUCUCCUCCUCGAAGCCAAUGAACUGCACCGACACUUCUCGUCUCUGUACUUCCUUCCUCGCUUUCAGACCGAACCCAAACCAAACCUUCUCCAUAAUCCAAAGCAUGUUCGACGCAUUACCAUCAGACAUAACCGCAGAUACCACCGGAGAAGACGAGGGAGGAGGUUACAUCUACGUCAAGAAGAACUGCUCUUGUCUCACCACGACUCCUCAUCAGUACGCAACGAACACGACAUUCACAAUCAGACAGAACCGUGGCUACGUCUACGAUGCUGUCGUCUCUGCUUACUCUGGUCUCGCGUUCCCACCGAACACUACUAGAGCAUCUAGUGCCGGCGCGGUUGUGUCUGUGCAGCUUCUAUGUGGCUGCUCGAGUGGUCUCUGGAACUACCUUAUGAGCUACGUGACGGUCUCUGGAGACAGUGUUCAAUCUCUCUCGAGCCGGUUCGGUGUUAGUAUGGAUCGAAUCGAGCAGGUUAACGGAAUCUCGAAUCCUGACAAUGUCACAACCGGAGAUCUCAUUUUCAUCCCUCUUGAUUCUGGUAAAGAAUCUUCAAUUUGAUUAUCUUGAAUUAGGCAUGGGCAUUUCGGGUAUCGGUUCGGUUUUGGGUUUUUCAGUUCUGGUUUAGGAAAUUCGGUGUGGUUUUGGUUUGAUUAUUUAGAUUCGGCUUGGGUAAUAAGGUUGGGAUCCGGCUAACAUCCGAGAUAAUUUUGGGUCUAAUUCAGUUCAGUUCUGGUUUUCCGGUUAAUUCGGGUUUAAAAAUCAGAUAAUUCAGGUUUUUGGAGUUACAUUAUCAUAUCUUUUUAGGUUUUAAGACAAAACAGUUUAAUGAUCUUGUUCUUGUCGUCUUGUUUAAGUGCCUGGAGUGCUUUAUGAAGCAAGGAAGAUAAACCCUCCUGCUCCUUCUCCUUCUCCUGUUUUAACCAAUAGCAAUAUCUCAGGUUCUGAUUUAUUUUUGUCUUAACUGAAUCUGAGGGUUUACUAUUUUUAGUAUCAUGAGACUCACAUUUAUAUAUAUUUUCCAAUUUUGGAAAAAGCUGCUGACCAGGUGAAUCACACUUCAAAGGGAGGUCAUGUCCCUUAUAUAUGGAUUGUUGGUGGUCUUACAGUUGUGCUUGCGCUUCCCGUCUCUGUACUUCCUUCCUCGCUUUCAAACCAAACCCAAACCAAACCUUCUCCAUAAUCCAAAGCAUGUUCGACGCAUUGCCAUCCGACAUAACCGCAGAUUCCACCGGAGAAGACGACGGAGGAGGUUACAUCUACGUCAAGAAGAACUGUUCUUGUCUCACCACGACUCCUCAUCAGUACGCAACGAACACGACAUUCACAAUCAGACAGAACCGUGGCUACGUCUACGAUGCUGUCGUCUCUGCUUACUCUGGUCUCGCGUUCCCACCGAACACUACUAGAGCAUCUAGUGCCGGCGCGGUUGUGUCUGUGCAGCUUCUAUGUGGUUGCUCGAGUGGUCUCUGGAACUACCUUAUGAGCUACGUGACGGUCUCUGGAGACAGUGUUCAAUCUCUCUCGAGCCGGUUCGGUGUUAGUAUGGAUCGAAUCGAGCAGGUUAACGGAAUCUCGAAUCCUGACAAUGUCACAACCGGAGAUCUCAUUUUCAUCCCUCUUGAUUCUGGUAAAGAAUCUUCAAUUUGAUUAUCUUGAAUUAGGCAUGGGCAUUUCGGGUAUCGGUUCGGUUUUGGGUUUUUCAGUUCUGGUUUAGGAAAUUCGGUGUGGUUUUGGUUUGAUUAUUUAGAUUCGGCUUGGGUAAUAAGGUUGGGAUCCGGCUAACAUCCGAGAUAAUUUUGGGUCUAAUUCAGUUCAGUUCUGGUUUUCCGGUUAAUUCGGGUUUAAAAAUCAGAUAAUUCAGGUUUUUGGAGUUACAUUAUCAUAUCUUUUUAGGUUUUAAGACAAAACAGUUUAAUGAUCUUGUUCUUGUCGUCUUGUUUAAGUGCCUGGAGUGCUUUAUGAAGCAAGGAAGAUAAACCCUCCUGCUCCUUCUCCUUCUCCUGUUUUAACCAAUAGCAAUAUCUCAGGUUCUGAUUUAUUUUUGUCUUAACUGAAUCUGAGGGUUUACUAUUUUUAGUAUCAUGAGACUCACAUUUAUAUAUAUUUUCCAAUUUUGGAAAAAGCUGCUGACCAGGUGAAUCACACUUCAAAGGGAGGUCAUGUCCCUUAUAUAUGGAUUGUUGGUGGUCUUACAGUUGUGCUUGCGCUUCUUGUGAUGUGUAUACUUGUGUGUAUCUGUUUGAGAUCAUCUAGUUGCGGAUCUAGUGAUGAAGAUGGUAAUGAACACAACUUCCAAAUCCUUAGAAAGUCCAGUUUCUUCUGCGGGUCUAGUCGGUAUAACUGCUGCGGAUCCGGGGAUUUUAGACCGACAAACGGUGAAGAAACCCAGAGCCAUCAUCAAGCUGUUGCUAUUCCUAAAGGUAUGGUUUUUUGUUUCAUCAUCUAUGGCUUCUCCUUUAUAACGGUUUUUCUUUUAUAUGUAUGUAGCUCUUGGUGAUGGAGUGUUUGAGAUAGAGAAGCCUAUGGUGUUUACUUAUGAAGAAAUUCAUGCUGCUACAGAUGGAUUCUCUGAUUCUAAUCUUCUUGGUCAUGGAAAUCUGCUCGAGUGGUCUCUGGAACUACCUUAUGAGCUACGUGACGGUCUCUGGAGACAGUGUUCAAUCUCUCUCGAGCCGGUUCGGUGUUAGUAUGGAUCGAAUCGAGCAGGUUAACGG